UACGUAGGGUGCAAGCGUUAAUCGGAAUUACUGGGCGUAAAGCGUGCGCAGGCGGUUCGUUGUGUCGGCGGUGAAAGCCCCGGGCUUAACCUGGGAAUGGCCGUCGAAACUGGCGAACUGGAGUGUGGCAGGGGGGGGUGGAAUUCCGCGUGUAGCAGUGAAAUGCGUAGAGAUGCGGAGGAACACCGAUGGCGAAGGCAGCCCCCUGGGCUGACACUGACGCUCAGGCACGAAAGCGUGGGGAGCGAACAGG
rnacentral:rRNA from 1 species